UUACCUGGUUUGAUCCUGCCAGUAGUCAUAUGCUUGUCUCAAAGAUUAAGCCAUGCAUGUCUAAGUACAGGCCGAAACAAGGCGAAACCGCGAAUGGGUCAUUAAAUCAGUUAUGGUUCAUUGGAUCUUACCUUGUUUUACUUGGAUAACUGUGGUAAUUCUAGAGCUAAUACGUGAUACCCCAGCUCCGACCGCAAGGAAAGAGCGCUUUUAUUAGAUCAAAACCAAUCGGGCUUCGGUCCGUUCUCACUGUGGUGACUCUGAAUAACUUUGAGCUGAGCGCAUGGUCUUCGAACCGGCGCCAUAUCCUUCAAGUGUCUGCCUUAUCAGCUUUCGAUUGUAGGUUAUGCGCCUACAAUGGCUAUAACGGGUAACGGGGAAUCAGGGUUCGAUUCCGGAGAGGGAGCCUGAGAAACGGCUACCACAUCUAAGGAAGGCAGCAGGCACGCAAAUUACCCACUCCCGGCCCGGGGAGGUAGUGACGAAAAAUAACGAUGCGGGACUCUUCCGAGGCCUCGCAAUCGGAAUGAGCACACUUUAAAUCCUUUAACGAGGAUCUAUUGGAGGGCAAGUCUGGUGCCAGCAGCCGCGGUAAUUCCAGCUCCAAUAGCGUAUAUUAAAGUUGCUGCGGUUAAAAAGCUCGUAGUUGGAUCUCAGUUCCGGACCGACGGUUCACCGCCCGGUGCUUACUGUCGGCUUCCGAACAGCCGCACGCCGGCUCGGCCAGGGUGCUCUUCAUCGAGUGUCCUGGUUUCGGCCGGCACGUUUACUUUGAAAAAAUUAGAGUGCUCAGCGCAGGCUGCAACGCCUGAAUAAUCUGUGCAUGGAAUAAUGGAAUAGGACCUCGGUUCUAUUUUGUUGGUUUUCGGAACCCGAGGUAAUGAUUAAUAGGAACUGUCGGGGGCAUUCGUAUUGCGACGUUAGAGGUGAAAUUCUUGGAUCGUCGCAAGACGGACUACUGCGAAAGCAUUUGCCAAGAAUGUUUUCAUUAAUCAAGAACGAAAGUUAGAGGUUCGAAGGCGAUCAGAUACCGCCCUAGUUCUAACCAUAAACGAUGCCAACCAGCGAUCCGCCGGCGUUAUUCCCAUGACUCGGCGGGCAGCUUCCGGGAAACCAAAGUCUCUGGGUUCCGGGGGAAGUAUGGUUGCAAAGCUGAAACUUAAAGGAAUUGACGGAAGGGCACCACCAGGAGUGGAGCCUGCGGCUUAAUUUGACUCAACACGGGGAACCUCACCAGGCCCGGACACCGGAAGGAUUGACAGAUUGAGAGCUCUUUCUCGAUUCGGUGGGUGGUGGUGCAUGGCCGUUCUUAGUUGGUGGAGCGAUUUGUCUGGUUAAUUCCGAUAACGAACGAGACUCAAA
rnacentral:rRNA from 1 species